rnacentral:rRNA from 1 species
GUGAGGAAUAUUGCACAAUGGGCGAAAGCCUGAUGCAGCAACGCCGCGUGAGUGAUGAAGGCCUUUGGGUCGUAAAACUCUGUCCUUGGGGAAGAAAAAAAUGACGGUACCCUUGGAGGAAGCCCCGGCUAACUACGUGCCAGCAGCCGCGGUAAUACGUAGGGGGCAAGCGUUAUCCGGAAUUAUUGGGCGUAAAGAGUGAGUAGGUGGUUUUGUAAGCGUAGGGUGAAAGGCAGUAGCUCAACUAUUGUUAGCCCUGCGAACUGUGAGACUUGAGUGCAGGAGAGGAAAGUGGAAUUCCUAGUGUAGCGGUGAAAUGCGUAGAUAUUAGGAGGAACACCAGUGGCGAAGGCGACUUUCUGGACUGUAACUGACACUGAGGCACGAAAGCGUGGGUAGCAAACAGGAUUAGAAACCCUUGUAGUCC